CCCUUAGAUGUUCUGGGCCGCACGCGUGCUACACUGAGUGGAUCAGCGGGUCAGGUUGCGCGAAAGCGUUUCCUAAUCUUUAAAUCCGCUCGUGAUGGGGAUUGACGGUUGCAAUUUUCUGUCAUGAACGAGGAAUACCUUGUAAGCGCGGGUCAUCAUCCCGCGCUGAAUACGUCCCUGCCCUUUGUACACACCGCCCGUCGCUCCUGCCGAUUGAGUGGUCCGGUGAGGCUUUGGGAUCUGAGCGGAAAGAGCGUUUCGCUGUUUCUGCUCGGAAAACUCAGUCGAACCUUAUCAUUUAGAGGAAGGAGAAGUCGUAACA
rnacentral:rRNA from 1 species